GGAGUUUGUGAAUACUAACACUCUGAAUUUUGUUUGCAGAAGAUGACCCAGAUGAUGCUGACUUUGACCCAGAAUACGGUGGCACUAGUUUUCGUCCAGGCCAUAAGGUCAUCAUCAUUUCCGUCCUACCUAUUUGCAUUUGGUUCAUACUUCGUGAGAAAUUGUGUUUAUUGGAUACCUGAUCAUCUUGCAAAUGUUUUAACAGCACAACAAAUCUAUUAGAAGCAUUUUUGUUUAAUGGAGACUAAUGACUGAAUCAGAACAUUGGUAAAAAAACUAAUGGAUUCUAGUAAUGGACUCCUCGAGUUACGGCUUAAUUAGUAGCUGUGUAAUCUAGAGUGUG
rnacentral:lncRNA from 1 species